rnacentral:rRNA from 1 species
AUUUAUAAAAUUAUUAUUUUAUUAUAUUUAAAUUUAUUUAAAGUAAAUAUUUUAUAUUUUAUUAUUAGUAAAGAAUAAAUUGUUUUAAUUAUAGAUUAUUAGUACUGUGAAGGAAUUUUGAAAUAAUUGAAAAUUUUAAAUUUAGUAAAGAAAAAUUUAUUAUUUGUACCUUGUGCAUCAGGGUUUAUUAAUUAAAUUUUAUAUAUAUAAAAUUCUCGAAUUUAAAAGAGUUAUAAUUAAAUUUAUUUUAUUGUGUUAUAAAUAUUUAUAAUUUAAUUAUUGAAAUGAAACGUUAGUCGUUUUUAAAUAUAUCUAGUUUUUAAAGAAAUAAAUUAAAUUUAUAAUUAUUAAUUAAUUUAAUAUGAAUUAUUAUUUUAAAUUAUUAGUAAUUAAAUUUCUAAAGGGAUAAGCUUUUAGGAAAAAUUAUAUAAAUUUAUAUUAUUAUUAAUAAUAUGUAUUAUUAGAAUUUUAAAUCAUUUAAAAAAUGUUAUAAUUAAUUAUUAAUUUAUUAUUAUUUUUAUAAAUUUUAUAUUUUUUAUUUAAAUAUUAAUUUUAAUUUAAAAAAUUAAUUAAUAAUGAUAAAAUUAGUAUAAUUUAUUUUAAAAUUAAUUUUUUAGUYAAAAUUAGUUUAAGGAAUUCGGCAAAUAUAUUUUUCACCUGUUUAUUAAAAACAUGUCUUUUUGAUUAUAAUUUAAAGUCUAACCUGCCCAAUGAAUUUUUGAAUGGCUGCGGUAUUAUGACCGUACUAAGGUAGCAUAAUCAUUAGUUUCUUAAUUAGAAGCUGGAAUGAAUGGUUGAAUGAAAAAAUAGCUGUCUCAAAUUAAAAAAUUAAAAUUUUAUUUUUAAGUUAAAAAGCUUAAAUUUUAUUAAAAGACGAGAAGACCCUAUAGAGUUUUAUAAUAUUAAUUUAUAAAAUAAUAAGAUUUAUUAAUUUUAUAUUUUUAAUUUUAUUUGAUUGGGGUGAUUAAAAAAUUUAAUAAACUUUUUUUAUUUAAAAAACAUUAAUUAUUGAAUAAAUGAUCCAAUAUUUUUGAUUAUAAGAUUAAAUUACCUUAGGGAUAACAGCGUAAUUUUUUUUUAGAGUUCUAAUCGAAAAAAAAGUUUGCGACCUCGAUGUUGGAUUAAAAUUAAUAUUUGGCGCAAAAGUUAAAUUAUUAAGUCUGUUCGACUUUUAAAAUUUUACAUGAUCUGAGUUUAGACCGGUGUGAGCCAGGUCGGUUUCUAUCUUUAAUUAAAAUAAAAAUUUUAGUACGAAAGGACCAAAUUUUUAAUUAAAAAUUUAAACUUAGAAUAAAAUUA